rnacentral:lncRNA from 1 species
GGCAACGCAACACAACAUAUCCAAAAUAUCCAAAAAUCGUUGUGAGCUGUAACUCGUUAAAUCCUCAAUCGCUGGCCAUUGUUUUGGCUGAAUUUUAUAUUGAAAAUUCAAAAUCCUUUUCUUCAUCGAAAAACACAUAACCACGACCACCAUUGUCACUCCAACCAGCCAACCGGUGAAAUACCACCCUCCAUGUAUCCACACCAAUGCAUCUUGAUACAAAACCAAUAGAUAACUUUGAUGUAUCUCGUUGUAAAUUCAGUAAAACAGACACAUAUCGAUACAUAAUUGAAUAUAUUGAUUUAGACGAAUUUUGACACAUUAGUUUAAACAGACUUUAAGAGAUACAUAAGAUUUUGUAUCGGAUUCAGAAACCUGACAAGCAUAAUGUAUCUUCAUUCCCUCUUUAAUGUAUUUUCAUGUUUUUUUGACUCCCGAUACAUAUUGAUUAUACCUUUUUAGAGGAUCCCGUGAUGUAUCUUCACCUUUAUCUCCUUUAGUAUCGGCAGUGUCUGACAAACGUAAUAUAUCUUCUUGUCCUUUUUAAUCAGAUACAUCAUUAUUAUGUAUCUCCAAAUUUUCCUAACAUAUUCAUCAUUCUUUUAUAUCUCCAUUAACAUCAUCAUCUUCAACCUCCAUUAACUAAUCUCUAAAUUUCCUCCCUACUCCACCACCAACUCCCUCUAUCUCUGUUUCAGGCUAUCGUCGCUAGUAAAUCCUCACCGAUGAACCACCAAAUAGACACUUAAUUCGAAAAAGCUCUUUAAAUUUUGAUUGAUUUUUCUCAAUUUUGAUAGAACAAGCACCUCAGAAACCCACUAAUUUUGUGGUUAUGCUGAGAUCGAAAAACGAGAUUGUUACCGAUGAAACUGUUGUCAUUGUUUGCCGAAGAUUCGAACUUGAAUUUGUAAAAAUAUAGAAAGAGAAAGUAGAGAGAGAGAGAG